rnacentral:rRNA from 1 species
GGAGGGUGCGAGCGUUAAUCGGAAUUACUGGGCGUAAAGCGCGCGUAGGCGGUUUGGUCAGUCGGAUGUGAAAGCCCCGGGCUUAACCUGGGAAUUGCAUUCGAUACUGCCGAGCUAGAGUAUGGGAGAGGGAAGUGGAAUUUCCGGUGUAGCGGUGAAAUGCGUAGAUAUCGGAAGGAACACCAGUGGCGAAGGCGACUUCCUGGCCCAAUACUGACGCUCAGGUGCGAAAGCGUGGGUAGCGAACAGGGAUUAGAUACCCUGGUAGUCCACGCCGUAAAGGAUGAGAACUAGAUGUCGGGAGGUUUUUCUUCUCGGUGUCGCAGCUAACGCGUUAAGUUCUCCGCCUGGGGAGUACGCCGGCAACGGUA